GACGAACCGAGCGAACGUUGUUCGGAAUCACUGGGCUUAAAGGGCGCGUAGGCGGGCUGCCAAGUCUGGGGUGAAAUCCCACGGCUCAACCGUGGAACUGCCUCGGAUACUGGCGGCCUCGAGGGAGGUAGGGGCAUGCGGAACUGUGAGUGGAGCGGUGAAAUGCGUUGAUAUUCACAGGAACUCCGGUGGCGAAGGCGGCGUGCUGGACCUCUUCUGACGCUGAGGCGCGAAAGCUAGGGGAGCAAACGGG
rnacentral:rRNA from 1 species